rnacentral:lncRNA from 1 species
UCGAAUGUGUUUAAUUUUUAUUUUUAAUUUCGUCAGUUGCAUUCACAAACAAAACCAAUUUCACAACCCCCCCCCACCACUGCGUGUCUGACCUAAUUCUCGAACCACAUUUGGUCUUUGAGAGACGACCUAGGGGUCAUUCCCUAGCUAUACUGCACUUUAAAAUGCGCAUUAAAUUUGAUUGGGUGGCGACACCCAUCACACUGCUCUCUUGGCCACUCAGUCCCUAGAAAGGCGUUAAUGGUAUCAGAAUCAUAGUUGAUCAAGUGUCCACGCACAUAGCUCAUGUAUCUCCCUGCAGACACUCCUCCUCUCGGCAAAGCGUUGGUGUAAAACUCCUUCACCAACUCAAUACUAGCUGGUGUUGGAUAAGUCGUCAGUCUCUCCUAACCUCGCCUCUCAAUCUCCAAACCAAACUUUGGAGCUAGGUCAGGGAUGUACAUAGCCUUCCUCUCCAUUAGAAAACGCCUCUCCUGGACUAUAACAUAAUGUUCUUCAUGUUUCCUUGAAAGGAACCUCGAAGAAUAGUAUCUCCUACGUCUCUCCGGUUCCUUCCUUUCGUUGCCCAUUGUCAUAACUCUUCUUGAAGUAGACAUUCCUGCAUAAAUCAAAUUCAUCCA